AGGAUGAACGCUAGCGGCAGGCUUAAUACAUGCAAGUCGAAUGGGUAGCAAUAUCCAUGGCGCACGGGUGCGUAACGCGUAUGCAACCUACCCAUUACUGGAGGAUAACCCAGAGAAAUCUGGGAUAAUACUGCAUAAUACAACGAGAUUGAUUGGUUUUGUUGUUAAAGAUUUAUCGGUAAUGGAUGGGCAUGCGUCCGAUUAGCUAGUUGGUAGGGUAACGGCCUACCAAGGCUUUGAUCGGUAGGGGUUCUGAGAGGAAGAUCCCCCACACUGGUACUGAGAUACGGACCAGACUCCUACGGGAGGCAGCAGUAGGGAAUAUUGGACAAUGGGCGCAAGCCUGAUCCAGCCAUGCCGCGUGCAGGAAGAAGGCGUUAUGCGUUGUAAACUGCUUUUGAACGGGAAUAAAAGCCUGCGGGUAAUGAAUGUACCGUUAGAUAGCCACGGCUAACUCGCGCCAGCAGCCGCGGU
rnacentral:rRNA from 1 species